rnacentral:rRNA from 1 species
UACGAAGGGGGCGAGCGUUGUUCGGAAUCACUGGGCGUAAAGGGCGCGUAGGCGGCCCUCCUAGUCGCGUGUGAAAGCCCCGGGCUCAACCUGGGAACGGCGCGCGAAACGGGGGGGCUGGAGUUCGGGAGAGGAGCGUGGAAUUCCCAGUGUAGAGGUGAAAUUCGUAGAUAUCAGGAGGAACACCUAUUGCGAAGGCAGCUCGCUGGGACGUAACUGACGCUGAGACGCGAAAGCGUGGGGAGCAAACAGG